CCUACGGGAGGCAGCAGUGGGGAAUAUUGCACAAUGGGCGCAAGCCUGAUGCAGCCAUGCUGCGUGUGUGAAGAAGGCCUUCGGGUUGUAAAGCACUUUCAGCGGGGAGGAAGGCGGUGAGGUUAAUAACCUCAUCGAUUGACGUUACCCGCAGAAGAAGCACCGGCUAACUCCGUGCCAGCAGCCGCGUGUAAUACGGAGGGUGCAAGCGUUAAUCGGAAUUACUGGGCGUAAAGCGCACGCAGGCGGUCUGUCAAGUCGGAUGUGAAAUCCCCGGGCUCAACCUGGGAACUGCAUUCGAAACUGGCAGGCUAGAGUCUUGUAGAGGGGGGUAGAAUUCCAGGUGUAGCGGUGAAAUGCGUAGAGAUCUGGAGGAAUACCGGUGGCGAAGGCGGCCCCCUGGACAAAGACUGACGCUCAGGUGCGAAAGCGUGGGGAGCAAACAGGAUUAGAUACCCGAGUAGUC
rnacentral:rRNA from 1 species